AUUUUCAUGCCCUGUGUUCGAACUGCCAUUUUAUUUUGAAUUGAACUAGGGAUGCUCUUGAUUCAGACCUGGGGGAAGAAGGAAGAACCUCUCUCUUAUAGGCAGUAAUAUUGCUCUCUCAUAUCAUCUCUCAUCUAGUAGGUAGUAAAUAUUUUGAUGAAUGUGUUACUCAAAAAACAAAAUGUUGUAUUGAUAUUCAGUAUCUUAGAGAAACGUUGUUGUGUUCUGGAUGACAAAUAACACAUGUGACAGUAAGUCCAGGUAUUUCUACAUGAGGAGUAAAAAAUUACUUCUACUGAGAGUUCACUUGAAUCCUUGAUAGCUACUGACCAUAGGAACUUAACCUAGAAAAAAUGUGCAAAAAGGAACCAUUUUGUAUUACCAUUAGUCGUCGAUUCUGUGUAAUGUUUUAUUUUUUUUGCUACCCUAGCAUUGAAUUAGCACAUCAUUUUCAAAGAGUUGCACUCUCAUUAUUUAUUUCUUGCACUGUUAAUUUUAUUUUCAGAAGCGAACUUGUACAGGGUACAUGAGUUCCAAUAGUAGCUUCCGUUGCAAAUUUUUUACAUAAUCAAGCAUUCUUGCUGUGUUGCCUUUCUUUCCAGAUAUAUAGAUUGCCAGUUUUGAAUCCGAUUCUCAAAUAGACAAUCAUAAUUCUAUUGCCAGUUCUGAAAUAAAGAAAUGUUUGCGUAAUAGUACCAUAACAACACCAAAACGAAUCCUCAUCCUUGGUAACUUACUGGCUUUGAUCUUCCAGGGAAGCAUUAUGAGAUCCUUGUUUUACUUAUAGGUAGGCCAUCAGCUCAAACCUAACACAGAAACUCCUUGCUUGGCAUUUGAGCUCUUGUUUUCUCAAGACUGAUACUAGUAAAUGUUAUUUCACUAUGUAUUCUUUCCUCAGUCCAUAGAGAAAUGUGGGAGUAGUUCGAUGUGUGUUGGAAAGAUAGUUUUUUUUUAUAUAUCAUAAGAAGAAAAGAUCGUGUUUCCUAAGGGGAAAAUCAAAAACAUUAUUAGCAACUCACUAUGUAUUCUACCAUCAAUUCUAUGUGUAUUAGGGAGAGGGUUCGGUGUAUCAUUGUUUUCACUUUCCCAGAAAAAAAUGUUCUAUUGCAGAUUAGUAACUUUGUAUUUACAUUUUUUUAAAACAAAGAACUAAUAAGUUCAUAUAAGUUCAAAAGACAAAGCAUUGAAAGUUCAAUCAAAAGCUCUCACCACUUUCUUUUUAUUUUUUAAUUAUUGUAGGACAUUUGAAACACUGAGCAAAAGGGAUUAGGAUAAAUUGCAGAAGUAGUUGUAGGAUGCUUAAGUUCUUUUGACUUUCCUUUCUCUCAUUCUUCAUGUACCGACGAGUUGUUUCAUUUUUCUGGUUUCAAAAAAGUAGAAGGGGAAGAUGUAGAGGGUGGACUACACUGGGCCUUUGCUGCUGGAAUCAUGGCGUAUUCAUGAGCUCAUGUAGAGCUACCGAUCCAGCAAGCCGCCCAUGUCGAUGAAAUGCAUGCUAAUCCCUUGAAAAAAAAAGGGGAUGGGGCGCUGCGACGGUGAACUGAUACAGGGAGAUGCACACCAAACCCGUUGCCCCAUCCCUAGCCAUCGUGAGGUAUACCCUGCUCAGUGGCUCCUGAACCAGAAAAACAAACCGGCCCAGCCCGCACCCGCACCACUCUGUCCUCUCUCCCUCGUUCCUAAUCUCUCCAACCGCACACGCCACCCGCCGCCAGCCCCUACUCUCCGGCAACCCGCCUCCCCCCGCCACCCACCUCCGGCGACGCGCCACGCCCAGCACCUCCCACCACCGGCGACGCGCCGCGACCACCGCACCCUGCCUCCUCCCUCAUGCCGCACGCUGCCCCUGAACCCUACCUCCUCUCUCGCGCCACCCCCACUGCCCCCCGAGCGUGGCUGCCCCUCCACGGAUCCAAGCUCGCACGCCGCCGCCCCUCCCACCAUGCCAAGCUCGCACGCCACCGCCGCCGGCGCCCCCAACUGGCCGCCCCUCGUCAGUUCGUGUGUUCCAUCCGCACCAAAAAUCACCGUCCCUAGCUUCCCAUGGAUCCCUGCGCGCCGCCGCCCACCAGAAGGAAGCUCUCGUGCUCCCCGACGCCGCUUUCCUUAAGCAUUUGUGCGCUCCAAAAGUCAACGCGACACAGUUGCUUCCUCCGGCAACACCUCCUACCGGCGCCAGCGGUUCUGAGGUUACCUUGUUAGUAGUUCAACUUUGCUAAAUUCUGUAGUUAACCAUUGCUAAAAAUCAUCUUAGAAAUUAUCUCGUUUAAAUAGUUCACCUUUUCUAAAAACAGUAGUUCUCUGGUUAGAAAAACAAUAGUUAUCUCUGCAAGAAAGUAUGACAAUCUUUUGGUAAAGUCUCAAUCUCUUCUCAGUUUUAGUGUACGCUCGCUGGCGAUGCGUCCAGCAUGCUUUCGGUGAUAGCGCCAUAGUGGCCACCACUAAUGGCAUUGGCAGCCAGCAUGCUUGCACAAAAAUAGCUAGCUAGGUGUUCAGGAUCGUCUAUUUUAUCCCUCGAAACAGGAUGCUCAGGACGUCUAUUUUGUUUUCUGAAACACUAGCUAGGUGUUCCCAGUUCAGUACAUGGACUAUCAUCAGCUCUAGUUGCUGCUUCCUGCCACCAACGAAUUGCGCAAGUUCAAAGAGUGUCGCAUGACAAAUUCAAAAGGUGUUGUAUGGCAAGUUCAGAAUUUUGGUUCCGUGAAAAGUGUGAUUUUGGACAAUAUUUUGUGCGAUUCAAUUGUUCAUCUUCAGAACUUGGAGAUGUUAAGUCUACUUUUUUCUAUGAUGAAGGUACACAUGAGCUCCAUCUGCAAUGGUUAUCCACCCUAGUGCUUCAAAGAUGCUUAUUUUGUUUCCCCCGUGACGCAUCGAGGAUGAUAGUGACGACACUUACAAAAUUGUUUUCUGUGUUGCUAUGUUAUCAGUCCAAAGUGUGGUGAAGAUGUAGUCCUGGGUGUGUAGAUGAUGUGGUGUGUGUCUGGUUGUGUGUGUGCAUGAUGAUUGGUGGCUGUUGUGUGUGUGUGCAGGGUACCCGGCGACAGCGGGUAGGCGACAAGUGUACUGGUGACCAGCUACCCGGAAAAUGCUGGAACAGGGCUUCCAAAGGAAGCUCCUUGCUUCUUGCUUCUCUUUAAAUCUCUUGAGCUUUACAUGGUGUUAAUGGAGAAAUAUAAGAACAAAAACAGGUAUGUGUAGCCAUCUAGCAACAUGGUGAUCAAACAAAAUCCCGACAGCCAACCUCCAUGGUGAUCAAUUCCAUGUGCUUAUGGACAUGAGGGAGAAGACGGAACUAGAAUGAUCCAGUUCAUCAUUGGCACCCCUGUAAACCAAACAAUGAAGAACACAACCAUUGUACUUUUGCUCUUGUUCUUUCUAUCUCCUGAAUUCCAUGCUUUCUGUGAUGAGCAUGCUUGGUACUAUAUAGAUACUGAUGUUGUAGUUCUAAUACAAUAUAUUACAAGAAUUCAUUGACAAAAAAGGUGUCAGUUCAUAUAUGCAUGCAACAGCUAUUCUGAUACUACUUUAGUAACCAGAAAAACACAAAAGUUCAACUAUACUUAUGCAAAAUAGUUCAGUAUUUUAUUCUAUGACAGUCAAGAAAAACAGAAAAAAGAGGUUCAUCGUGUGAUGAGCAAUAGUCCCAACAACUGUGCUAGAGAUGCAAAAAAUUGAUAGCAUAGCCGAUGCCAUUUUUCUCCAAUUUCUGAAGAAAACUAAAGUUGAUCAGAGUAACUAAAGAAUGAUCUGUUAGUUCUUGAGUAUGUGUAAUGCUGCCAUUUUACUGUGCAUUUGAUUCCAUCGUGAUGGAUGUAUUACAAAGAUAUGGCUGUAUUACUAUGUUGAAUAAAAAUACCAUUUUGCUGCAACAUUUUCUCAGCUCCUGUCAAGUUAUACAUGUAUGUGAGGAUCCUUCUAUGUAGUAAGUUCAUAGUCGAGAAGUCAGGGACUUCGUAAAUAACGUGAACACCAAAAAACCAUUAAAAAACCUAAACCAUAUGUUAGGGGAGUUCAAGAAGUUCAUGGCUAGCUAUCCGUGUUCUGUAUUCUUAUCAGUUCAUAAUCGAGAAGACAUGUAUUCUUAUCAGUUUGUUUAUCUAGCCCGUCGUGCUGUGUAUUCUGGUCAGUUCGUGUGUGUAUGUGUUGCCCUCGCAGUGUAUGAGAGGCCGCCCGUGAGGAAGUCGCCGAUCUGGUCGAGGCAUGCUGCUAUUCUCUAUAUCCGGCAGCACAAACAUUUAAAAGUUGAAGUUAAAAGAAGAUGGAGAUGUGUGUUUUGGAGAGGGAAGAACUUAUCUAGUGGAGUGCGUGUGUGUGCUGCUGCAUCCUCGUCCGGCAGCUCUAAUCCACACUCUUAGUACAACUUCUCUAUGAUCUCAUGUUCACAAAUCUUGUAGUACAUUUUUUAAUAAAAAUCUUCUAGUACUAUGUAAAGCAAGCGUGGCGAACACAUACUUUAGGUGUCGCGGUAGUACGCACUGUUGAUGGUGGCCUUCCUUUGUGGCGCUACAACUUUGCCACCUAGAGUAGUACUGCUACUACUUAUCAUGUUGCUAAAACCUAGCGAAAGUACAUGUAUUUGAUUAACGGUUCUGUAGGAAGAAAACUUUCACCAAUAUAUAAUCUCUAGGUUUAGUAAAGCAAUCUUUUUGUUUAGUAGCUGAUACUGCUCAAGUUUAUUUCUUGUUGUACAUAUGAUGUCCAAUUUCUUCUUUCAGUUCGGUUCAAUUUAUAAAUUUCAUUCAGUUCAAUUCUUAUUGUAGUUGGAGUUUAGUUUCUUUUUUGAGUUCAAUUCAGGCAUGUGUUUGAACUUGCAACCUCACUGCCUUAAGCUACGAUCUCAAAUAGAAGUAUACUAAAUGCAGGUACUAGGUGGUGGCAUUGCUUCACUUCUCUUGUUACGUUCUCUUCGCCCAAAUUCAGAGGAUCAAGAAAAUAAAAUAUCAUUCUUUUGACAUGCACUACUCAAAAGAAGGCAUUUCUGUUGAAAAAUUGUUUCGCUUGACAUGUACUUGCCAACAAUUAUGUAUAAUAAAUCAUGGCAUUGUAUGUAGAAAAAGAUAUAUCGUGUGUUCUGCUAUUGUAUUGAGUUGCUAUCUAUUGCUAAUUGUAUGAUGUUGUUAUU